GACGAACGCUGGCGGCGUGCCUAAUACAUGCAAGUAGAACGCUGAAGCUUGGUGCUUGCACCGAGCGGAUGAGUUGCGAACGGGUGAGUAACGCGUAGGUAACCUGCCUGGUAGCGGGGGAUAACUAUUGGAAACGAUAGCUAAUACCGCAUAAAAUGGAUUAUCGCAUGAUAAUCGAUUGAAAGGUGCAAAUGCAUCACUACCAGAUGGACCUGCGUUGUAUUAGCUAGUUGGUGGGGUAACGGCUCACCAAGGCGACGAUACAUAGCCGACCUGAGAGGGUGAUCGGCCACACUGGGACUGAGACACGGCUCAGACUCCUACGGGAGGCAGCAGUAGGGAAUCUUCGGCAAUGGACGGAAGUCUGACCGAGCAACGCCGCGUGAGUGAAGAAGGUUUUCGGAUCGUAAAGCUCUGUUGUAAGAGAAGAACGAGUGUGAGAGUGGAAAGUUCACACUGUGACGGUAUCUUACCAGAAAGGGACGGCUAACUACGUGCCAGCAGCCGCGGUAAUACGUAGGUCCCGAGCGUUGUCCGGAUUUAUUGGGCGUAAAGCGAGCGCAGGCGGUUAGAUAAGUCUGAAGUUAAAGGCUGUGGCUUAACCAUAGUACGCUUUGGAAACUGUUUAACUUGAGUGCAAGAGGGGAGAGUGGAAUUCCAUGUGUAGCGGUGAAAUGCGUAGAUAUAUGGAGGAACACCGGUGGCGAAAGCGGCUCUCUGGCUUGUAACUGACGCUGAGGCUCGAAAGCGUGGAGAGCAAACAGG
rnacentral:rRNA from 1 species